rnacentral:lncRNA from 1 species
GGAAAAGUGGCUGUGUGUUCAGAAAAACAAAAUGAUUUUGGUGAACACGUAACAUUUUCUCUGUCACAUCGCUGCAGUUAGCUCUAGUUAAAGUACAAUUGCGUACAUGAUCAUCCAUCCGUAACUGAGUGGUUGAUUUGUAAAUAGCUUCUUAUGAGAUCUGAUCAGUUGAAGCAAAUGCGACCUUAAAAAAUGUAGUGAGGCAAUGGUGGGAGAAGAGCAACGCCAUUUUCUGCAGAUAUCUUAGUAAAUUCAGCCUGUUCAAUUAUCCAGUUACAGAUGUGGGGCUUAUGAAAAACUCCUAGACGUGAAAUGAACCAGAAUACAAAGUUGGACGGACUGGGUUGUGUUUCCAAUGGAGUUCUGGACAAAGCAAACAAACUUCCUGCGAAGAUCACGCUGAGUGACUUUUUCCAAGAUGAUAUUACGCUCAAUGAUUUCAUCCUUUAAAGUGGAUUUAAUACUGAGAAAGGAGAAAAAAUACCACUCCAUUCAGUAACAUACAUUGACACCCAUUUGCAGCAUUUGGAACACGUAUAAGCAGCCAACAGUUUGGCUUUUAGAGAACUGUGAGAUCAAUAGUAUAAGAUACCACGAGAAUGUAAGAUGGUCAAAAAGGGCUCAUUCUUGAUUCAAUUAUUGACUCUUCUAAGCAUUCACGCUAAGACAUUAUUUAUUUGUGAGACUCAUCUGACCUUCCUUACUCUUAAGAAUUCCCCUUGAGAAUAGAUAAUAACAAUACCUUAAGAAAAAUAUUUAAAAUGACCAACUCCUACUGAAGGUUUACUAUGUAUCAGUCCCUCUUCUGUGCACAAAAUAUGGACUCUAAUGUCCUCCAUUCCUCACCUCCCAGGAACCCUAGAGUAUAAUAGGAUCAUAAUGGCCUUGGCCAGUGACAAGGACAAGGCAAAGAAGGUGGGUGAGUAGCCCCAGACCACACUGCAGGGAAUGGGCAGCUUGAUUCCUGGGCUUGUGCCACGCUGCUCCACCCAGGAAGUUGGGAGUCUUGGCAUUUAUUCACAAUUUGAGUUCUCUGAAGUUACCAAUCUACAAUCCAUCUUUGUGUUAAGAAAUCUUGUGUAUGUGAAUGAUGUUUUAGGCUGUGUUGCUCUGAGACCACGAUGCCAGCUCCUAUUCACUGAGUGCUUCCUACCUGUCACACAUUGUGAUAGGCAUAACACCUCUGCUGUAACCACGCCUCCCAGUGAGCUUGCAAAGUGCAGGCUAUUAUCCAUAGAUUAUCAAUGGGUGAUGGAGGCUCACCGGGGCUAAGGGUCAUGUUGACAUCAGAUAGAAAAUGGGUUUAAACCCAAGGGUGGGUGAUGUCAAAACAUACCCUCUUGACUACACUCUCCUACUGUGAACUCUAAUGCAAUAUCAGCUUAAGAUGGGCCCCAAUGACCUUCCUGAUCUUAGAAAUUCUUGCUAAAUUUUAUUGUUGUGACCAAAAUCUGUUCUGUACUUUUUUGUAAUGAUGUAUACUUUUCAAAAUGAUAUUGCAUUUUCUUAUUGAUAUCUGUUAAGUAUCAGAAGAAGGUACUUAAUGCAUAGACUCUUACUCUGGGUCACAUCUUCGAAAAAUCAGGGAAUGCAUCCUUUGGAGACACAUCUGAUUGGACAUCACUGGAUCCAGGCCCUUUGAUCCUUCUGGGGACUGGAGAUCAACUUUUUUUGUGAUUGGAUAGCUCCAAAUAUCUAGGGUUUUCUACUGGCCAAAAUAUCUCACCAGUAAAUUCAAACCACUGAUCCGGGUUCUGUGCUCCAGAGAGCAACAAACCAAGUCAAAUUUCUCAAACAAUGUAAUAGCUCCCAAGGAUUUCAAGACAGAGAGCCCUCCUCUGAGCCUCUUUUUCGGGGUUAAGUUGCUUCAGGUAUUCCUCACUUCACAUAUUUUUUGUCAGACUUAUUAUUAUGAUGCCAUUUCCCCUGGAGGUUUUCUAGACUGUUCAUUACCCCACACAUCUGGAUCCCUGUACCCCCACACUCUCUGAACGGGUGGCACCGGUGAAAAGCAGAGUGAGGGUAAGCAGCAUUUCCUCCCAUUUCUUGGACAUAUUACUUAUCUCCAAGCAGUCUGGGUCAGUACAACUGUCUGCUCAAUAGCUUGACUUUGAGAGCAGCCACGUCAAACUGUUCCUACAAAUUGAGGUUUAAAACAACUUAAAUAUUUCAUUCAACGGCCGUUUGCACUUUGCAUUUUUGUGCUUUUAUUUUCACCACUAGUCGGUGCUGGUGGCUACACCAUCAACUGUAUACUUUAGGCAUUUCUAAAGGUAGAAGUAUCUCUUCUGAAUUGCAGAGAACAGAAUCCGUGAGUUUUUUUCUUACCUUUUCGCCUCAGGUACUGAGACUUCCCACUCUAGGUCAGAAUCUUUGAUGUACCAUUUUAUGACAGGGUUAAAGACCCUUUCAAAGCCAAAUCGUGCUUUGCAGCUAAUAGUUAAAGGCUUUCCUGAAAAUGAAGAGGCCAGAGAAAACAAGAAGGAAGCUGGUGAGAAUACUUUGUCCUACAUCUGGGAGGAAGACGUCGCCAGAAGCUGUCUCCUGAUGCAAUCAGGUUUGCAGGUAGAAUAUGUGUGCCAGAAAUAAUGAAACGUCUACACAGCUCUCAUUCAGAAAUGCAUAAAACCAGGUACAUUUUUUCUAAUGGGCAAUCCUUCUAUCUCAACCAUAUGACUAUAUGUUCUUAAAAUGAAGAUGAGCAUGAUUAUAUCACUAAGGGUCCUUAUGUGGAUUGAGGGAGACACUAAGAAAACUAAGAAAAUGAGGAGUUUCUGAGAUCAGCCCGGUCUUCUGCACUACUGUUGAAGUACAAGGUGUGUCCAUAAAGAAAAUUUUACUAUCCAAUAUUUGUUUAUUAAGUAAAAAUCAUAAAGUUAUUGUAGCACGUGGUUUAAAUAAAAAAAUUAUUUCGAUAUUAAGCAAUUUUUCUGAACAAUUCACUAUGGAUGGGCAUGCAUAUUAUGAGACUAACUUUUUUCUACCCAUUUUUUUCCAUGAGGAAUAUUCACAUAUGCUCUGCCUCAAAUCUAAUAUUUAACCAUGAAAUGACUAGGAGCUCCAUUUGAAUACUCAUCUUUGCACCUUAACGUUUUUCCACUGGUAAUACCUUAUAAUUCACUAAUACAUAUGUAACUUGACUAUAUGAAUUAAUCUAAUUUUUUCCUCCUUCUUUCCUCCUUCCUUCCAUUCCUGUGACGUUGAGCACAUAGUUAGUGCUAUUUCUAGAGUCAGAACACACCACUCCUGCCAUCUAGUGAUCUUAUAUCAUAA